CCCGCCGCUGUGUAAUUUUAGAAAAAAUGGUACCGUAUUAAUAUAUGUGCCGAACACCAUUUCUUUCCGCGUCUAGCCGGUAAUUACGGUAAUAACUGAUUAUCCUGAUAAAGGUACAAGCCUAUGAGAGGAUACCGGAAGUGGGAAGGAAGCGAGGCCUAGGAUGAGAUGAUACCGUCAGAUUAUUGAGUUAUUCCUUCCUCGGUGACAGUCUCCCACAGGCCGGUCGUAGAUUCGGCCGGAGCCACGUUCAUUCAGAGGGCCUACGUGGACAGUUGUGGGAGGCAUAUCAAGGGCCUACGUGCCACCGAGCACAGGAACUAUAUAUCAUGGGCAUCUACGUGGGACGCCAUCUUACUCACCGGGCACACCUAUUGUUGUUAUUAGGACCGGUAAUCACCAGAGCGCUACAACAAUGGUCUCUCCAAUGGCUAUACAACAGCUCAUGGUCACUUGAGGAAAACAGGGACAAACAAUAUGAACAAUAGCAAAUAAAAUUAUUC